UACGUAGGGUGCAAGCGUUGUCCGGAAUUAUUGGGCGUAAAGAGCUCGUAGGCGGUUUGUUGCGUCGGGCUGUGAAAUCCCGAGGCUCAACCUCCGGGUCUGCAGUCGAUACGAGCAAACUAGAGUGUUGGCAGGGGAGACUGGAAUUCCUGGUGAUAGCGGUGAAAUGCGCAGAUAUCAGGAGGAACACCGGUGGCGAAGGCGGGUCUCUGGGCAACA
rnacentral:rRNA from 1 species